rnacentral:snRNA from 1 species
AGUCGUGCAAAACGUUUAAUAAG